rnacentral:rRNA from 1 species
GACGAACGCUGGCGGCGUGCUUAACACAUGCAAGUCGAACGGAGCUAUUCCGACAGAAGCCUUCGGGUGGAAGAUGGAAUAUGCUUAGUGGCGGACGGGUGAGUAACGCGUGAGUAACCUGCCCAUCAGAGGGGGAUAACAACUGGAAACGGUUGCUAAUACCGCAUAAGACCCCACGGUCGCAUGAUCGAGAGGUAAAAGGAGCAAUCCACUGAUGGAGGGACUCGCGUCCCAUUAGAUAGUUGGUAUGGGUAACGGCCUACCAAGUCGACGAUGGGUAGCCGGACUGAGAGGUUGAACGGCCACACUGGGACUGAGAUACGGCCCAGACUCCUACGGGAGGCAGCAGUGGGGAAUAUUGGGCAAUGGACGAAAGUCUGACCCAGCAACGCCGCGUGAAGGAAGAAGGUUUUCGGAUUGUAAACUUCUGUCCUUGGGGAAGAAAAAAAUGACGGUACCCGAGGAGGAAGCCCCGGCUAACUACGUGCCAGCAGCCGCCGUAAAAC